rnacentral:ncRNA from 1 species
GCAGAGUAGAUCUGCGCGUGUUCAGUGCCGGCGGGACGGGGAGUUGUCCGCCGGACGAAACGGCCCGUUUGGGCCUGCAGUGCGCAUUUCGCAUCCCGCUGC